CUGGAUCAUGGUGAGCGAAGUCCAAAUCUCAAUGGUGUGAACUACAAAGCCCAUAUACGUGAGCCCAACAGGCAGCGGCCCAUCCUUUCCCUAGGAGAGAAGCAUCUGUCGAUCUCAAUUUUCCUCCCACACCCUAGCCUGUUCGGUCUCUCGGUCUCGGUCUUCCCCACGGAACGCGCCGCCCGUCGUCGCCUGCGCUCCUCUCGCGCAGCGUCACUGCCCGGCAUGGCGCCUCAGCACCACCCUCUACCCCCAGCCGUUUCCAGCGGAAAAGACGCCCGCGUGCCGUCCCCGUCCCUCCCCCUCCCCCGAGCAAGGGAAUCAACCAGAAGCACUGCCUCGCCAUGAGUCGUGCGUCAUCUAUCCCCUUCCGGUUGCAUCUGCAAGCUAACCAGGUGCCAUUUUCUUCUUCCCAUCCUCCUUGCUUGCCUUCUCUAAUCUUGGUUUUCUUCAUAAUGCAGUAUUAUACUUGUGAAAUUUUUGUUCCCCCAUCCUCCUUUUCUUAUUUGUAUAUCUCCUUCAUCUGUCCUCCCUUUUAAUUUAAAUCAUAAUUGCUUCUUGCCUUUUUUUUAAAUCUUGGUUUUCUUCAUAUCGUAGGACUAUACCUGUGAAAUUUUGUUAGCAUUCUCCCUCUAUGUUCCGUGUACAUUUUGAUUUGGCUACCUGUGUGGGGGAGGUCAAGGUAAAUUCUAAUGGCUAAUUUUAUUGCAGGUGUAAGAAUCAUCCCUAUAUAUGAAAGGUUGUGCUGUUCUAGAGCAUUCGAUAAAGUAAUUCAUUACUCCAGGGUGGUUUCAUCCAUAUGUAUUGAUGAAAUUGCAAAGCUGCCAUCAUUAUUUUACUGCAUAUAUUCAGUUAGCUAGAGAUUUUGUAAAAUAAUUCCUUAUAUGUCUUUGAUACUUAUAUUUUGUGAAUUGAACCUUUCAUCGCCAUGAUCUAUUUGGUGCAAGUUGUUUUUUCUAUAAUAAAAGUCUAAAACUUUUAUUGUUUCAGUUCAUCACCAGACGAUUAGAUGGAAGGAAUAAAUCGAAGCCGGUCUCUUGCUCUUCAGACUUACAUUUGAUGGAACUAUGGAAGGGCUUUAUUAUCUUACAUGAUCUUGCUGGUAUGUAAAUGUGUGUUUUCUCAAUGUUUAUAGCAACUGCAAGGGCCAUCAGCAUUUGGUCUCAUGAAGCUCACUCAUGGAGCCAUGGUAUGGAUUGACAUCUGUUUAUCCAAACAAUUCGAGUGAUUAUGGCUUUACCUAAGCAACGUGUUGUCUACCAAAUUAGUGAGGUGCAUUUUUAUUUCCUUCCUGCCAUGUGGUUUAGUUUAUGAACAAUAUAACUUCCUGUCAACUUAUGGGUGACCAUGUUAUUUUUUUUUUGCGAGGAAAACAUGAAGCUUUAUUAAACUGUAGAAUCAUCGCGAGCCAGAAGUUCGAAGACACACUCCAGGGCCUGCUGUGAACUCACCAGGCAAUGGUGAUGCUAGAGGAGGCGAGGUGCUCGCCAGCCACAUUACCGAUUGUCGCCUUCCAAACGAUCUCGGCUCUAUCACCUCUACACUGCUGGCACUGGGCAGAACAGAGCGGUGGAGCACAAGGUGGCAGAGGAGCAACUUUGGCCGCACGGGCAAUUGGGAGGAGGUGCUUCGGGCGACAUGAUCUACAUGCACCAUGGAGGAGAACUAGAUGAGAUGAAAUGUAUUAGAGUUUGUGUCGAAUAUGUAUGCGUAGUCGAUUACAGUUUAGGACUUGGAGUUGUAAUAUGUAUUAGGACUAGAGUAAGAUCAGACUCUAUCCUAGGAUCUCUCUUAAAUAGAGGGGCAGACCUAUUGUAACCACAUGGUGACAUAGCAUAGCGAGAGGGAACGGCUGCCGGCGGCGACUGGCCGUGAGUCGUUGUAACUCUAAUACGCUGUAUAUGCUGGAUCGGGGAGGAGCACCCGUAAUCGGUGCCCCGGAGAUAUAGGUUUUGGCUGAACUCCGUUAUCAAAUAUCGUGCCUCACUGUCGUCAUCGUGUUUGGAUCUCCUAUGGCGUUUCUUCCACGUUUAGCUACUGAUGUCGAUUUCG